rnacentral:tRNA from 1 species
AAAAAGAUAAGCUAAAGUUAAAGCUUAUGGGCUCAUAACCCGUCUAUGAAGACCUCUUCUCUUUUUA